rnacentral:rRNA from 1 species
CUCCCUGAUGUUUCGAGAGAUUACCCGCUGAAUUUAAGCAUAUUAAUAAGCGGAGGAAAAGAAAAUAACAAUGAUUUCCCUAGUAACGGCGAGUGAAGCGGAAAAAGCCCAAAUUUGAAAUCUUGUGGAAGCAAUUGACGCAAGAAUUGUAGUUUCAAGGUGGGGUGUGAAAGACGGUAGUGUGGACGGUGAAGUUCUGCUGGAAAGCAACGCCAGAGAGGGUGACAGCCCCUUGAGCCGUUUCCGCUGCGUGUCGGAUUAUCAUACUCUGUCCAAAGAGUCGGGUUCCUUGGGAGUGGAGCCCAAAGUGUCGGGUAGAUCACCGAUAAGGCUAAAUAUAAGGUCAGAGACCGAUAGCAAACAAGUACUGUGAAGGAAAGAUGAAAAGAACUUUGAAAAGAGAGUGAAAUAGUGCCUGAAAUUAAAGAAAGGAAAAGGAAAGCACACUUGUAGAGACAAACACAUGCGGGUUUAAGGGUAGCGGCGGGUUGGGGGCGCGGGUACGUGGUGAGCUGCAUAAGCCAGCGUGGUCUGCGCAAAACCUAACUGUCCAUCAAGCGAUCUGUAUACCUUCAUUGCAUUGUCUGGCAGCAUGAGAUUGCAAAUAUUUGGUCAGGAAGGCCAGUGGAAAGGUAGGUAUGGAUUUGCUUCGGCGGGUCUGUACUGUUAUAAUCCACGGGUUAUUAUGAGCCAAGGCAGUCUAAGGCAAAAAAGGGAAAGCCACAUGAUGGCGAGCUGCAGUGUUCCGGGCGAGUUGGGGUGUCUGGUGGGCGGACUCGAAACGAGUGCGUUUGCCACAGGCUUCAGUCGUUUGGCUCUGGCUUCAUUUCCCUCUGAGAUGCUGUAUUAACAAUCGGGCAGGUGUGUUUUCACCCGUCUUGAAACACGGACCAAGGAGUCUAACGCAUAUGCGACUGUUUGAGUGUUUGAUAAACUCAAGCGGGGAUUGAAAGAAAACUUUUGGUGUGACACCUGGUGUAAGAUACCUGGUAGCAACAUCGACCGACCAUGAUCUCUUGUGAAAGGUUUGAGUACAAGCAUAUUCGUCGGGACCCGAAAGAUGGUGAUCUAUGCUAGAAUAAGAUGAAGUCAAAGGAAACUUUGAUGGAGGUCUGUAGCCGUUCUGACGUGCAAAUCGAUGGUCAAAUUUUAGUAUAGGGGCGAAAGACUAAUCGAACCAUCUAGUAGCUGGUUCCCCCCGAAGUUUCCCUCAGGAUAGCUGAAACUCGCGAAAGCAAAAAGUUUUAUCUGGUAAAGCGAAUGAUUAGAGGACUUGGGAAAGAAACUUUCUCGACCUAUUCUCAAACUUUAAAUGGGUAAGAUUGCGUUCUCACUUUGGUGUUUGGAGAGUGCAAAAGAAUUUGAGUUUUUAGUGGGCCAUUUUUGGUAAGCAGAACUGGCGAUGCGGGAUGAACCGAUCGUGUCGUUAAAGAGCCCGAGUGGAUGCUCAUGUAGAACCCAUAAACGGUGUUGUCGCAUUAAGACAGCAGGACGGUGGCCAUGGAAGUCGGAAUCCGCUAAGGAGUGUGUAACAACUCACCUGCCGAAUGCGAUAGCCCGGAAAAUGGAUGGCGCUGAAGCAUCCCUCUUAUACGGCACCGUCCACGGUGAUAGAUCAAGAAAAGUAAACCUGGACGAGUAGGGGGGCGUGAUGGGAUUUCUGGGAUCCUCGGAAAGGUCUCAGAGGUGUGGCGAAGGGCCGCGGUGACGCGGUCUGGAACUCCCAUUAGUGCAGAUCUUGGUGGUAGUAGCAAAUAUUCAAGUGAGAAACUUGAAGACUGAAGUGGAGAAGGGUUUCUUGGGAACAGUAGUUGGCCAAGAGUGAGUCGGUCCUAAUCGAUCGUCGAGAGACGGGAAACCGGAAUAGGCAUAAGCUUGGGGGCUGUCCUCAUUCGAGUGUCGCUAAGAGUUCGGUGCAUAUCGAGAAAGGGAAAGCGGUUAACAUUCCGCUACGACAAGGUAGAGAGCGGUGGAGCGGGGCAACCUGUUUCAUUGCAACGCGGUAACGCAAGGGCAUCCAAAGACGUCGGGUCCUGUCUUCAGAGGAGUUUUCUUUUCUUUUUAAUCGGCUUCUUUUACAUCCGGCGCGAAAUUCAAAAAGCGUAUUCGGGUUGGCACCUCGGAAUUCUUUUACAGAGAGAGGAGGGUCAAGAGCCACAAGAGCCGUCCUAUUUUAGGAUGGUUGAAUGCACAGGAAACGGCCCAUGAAAAUUUGGAGCAAGGAAAGGACAGUCUUUAAUAAUUUUACCUGUCGCCGUACCCAUAACCGCAUCAGGUCUCCAAGGUUAACAACCUCUAGUCAAUAGAGUAAUGUAAGUAAGGGAAGUCGGCAAAAUAGAUCUGUAACUUCGGGAAAAGGAUUGGCUCUUAAGGAUGAGCACGUAGGGGGAGGAUGAAAGCACCCUAGGACCGGGCACGGUUGCCUGGCUGCAGGAUGUGAGCUCUGGAAACGGGGUUUGCGCUCUGUGGCCUUGGGCUUCCGCCGCCUUGACUCGUCCGU